rnacentral:rRNA from 1 species
GGGAAGUCCUCGUGUUGCACCCCU